UGGGGGCAGUGGAGGACCCGGGGCACUCAGGGCCUGACCUGUUUGUGCAAGAAUGGAUGAUGCAAACGAGAACAGCGCCAGGUGGGAGCCACCGCCAGCUCCCGGAGGAGGCCGAGCUGUAAACAGGCCUGCCACCAGCUGUCGGGACCCAUCCAACUGUUUUGGAAGUGACUGGGGCAUCUGCCUGGGGCUGCCUCGCCCCUGCUCUACCCCAGGCCUGGGAUGCCGAGGGCAGGGGCCGUGGCUGCUCUUCUGCCCCAGCCGGCUCUGCCCCGGGGCCCCGGGAGCUCUCUCCACCCCUGCCUUGCUUACACCCCAGCUUUCCCUUAUGGGCGGAGAGUCCUGCUACCCUCUGCAGGGGGGCGGCCCCUGCCCUGCCUGCUGUCUCCGUCAUUUAUCUGUCUUCCCUAAGGAGCGCUGCCCCUCUUCUUCCUCAUUCCCCUCCAUUCCCCUGGCUUCCCGAGGAGCUACCUAGAGUCAGAUCGCACCUGAACCCCCUUUGCUCCAACGCAAUCAGCAAACAUGCCAUCUUCCCGCCAGGCCGGGGGUAUCUGCAUCUCCCUCUGGCUUCCCUCCCCACCACGCCAGUGUUGCCCCACUUCAUGAGCCUUUGUUGUAGCCUCUUGGCACCUCCCGACACCCCAGACCCACCCUGACUUGUCUGCCUUUGCCCCAGCUGCCCCUCCACCUGGAGGUCCCUCGCCCUGUCCUUCUGCCUGGUGACAUCCAGCCAUCUUUUCAAAAGCUGUCCCCUCCCUGCAUAUGUCCUUGUGCUCACACACACACACACACACACACACAAACACGAGGCACUCUAGCGUCUCUGCAUUCCCUCAGCGCUCUGUUAAAUCUCACAAAGCAUUUCUCAUUCUUUACAUGGUGUCAGUCUCUGUUUGCAGACUGGAUUUCCUCUCGUAAGCCCCGAGCAGCUUGGAGACACAGCUCACCGCACCGGGCUGCUAUCGUCCCACAAAACUGUGCACACAGAGGCACGCCAUGGACGUACGUGACACUGAUGCCCUCAUGCAUAAAAAUAGCUAUCUAUUCACCUGACCUGAAAGCCUUUCUGAAAGUCACUUGUCCCCCCCGGAUACUGCCCAAGGCCUACGGAACCCACAAUAGCGACACCGAUAACCCCAUUUCAUUUCCACGUCCAGAAGUGCACCGCAGGGUGAGACUGUGAGUGAGCGUCCCCCAGAAGAAUGCGUACGUGUGCGCACACAGCUGAUUCCACGUCCCCCAGGUCCAAAGUGAAAGUCACCAGCAUGCUUUGUGACACAAGAGACUAGAGAGAGGGACGCAGGCAAGCGGUCUGAUGAUAAGAAUCACGACCAAGCAGCGCAGUGGUUAAGUCCCAGCCAAGCAACCUUCCCUGAGGUCUGUGUAAGAACGUUGAAAGCAUGCAUUACCUGUUAGGCUCUGAAACAGGGGCCCAAUUCGGGGGAACUAAAAAGGGUUUUCUUGAGAGUGCCUUAAUUCAGAACAUCCUCCCUGAGUUUUCCUCCUGCCCUGGCCCUGAGCUUUUGGCCGCUCUGCCCAGGCAGUUCUGAAGCACUUUCCUUUGAAGCAGGGAGUUUAUUUCGGGCCCACCGCAUGACCAGUGAUGGCAAGCCAAACUAUAAGAUGUUGUGCAUCUCGGAUUUCCUGUUUGAAGAUUGCACCGGGGGAGGCUGCCAUGCCGCCUUCGGUUCCUCCGUGGCGACGCGUCAAUUACGGACCUCGCGGCAGAGAGCAUCUCAGAGCGCUGGCCCUCACGUGACGUCGUCGUUUGUGAUCCUUGACAUGGAGGCCAUAUAUGGCUGGGAGCAUUGACACUGCAGUAAAGGUCCGCAAAGCCCAAGACAAAGACAGGCCGGCCUGUCCAUUGACGUCACGGGUUGGUCACGUCCAGCACGAACGGGUCGGGCUAAGUCAGCAGUUCCUGCCUGAAGCCGCACAGUAGAACCCUAUGAAACGUACCUGUGCCUGACUCUUCCCCCAGAGAUUCUUCUUGAAUGCAUGUGAGCGGAGGGCCGAACAGCACUGACUUUUUAAAACUUUUUAUUAACGUAUCAUACACACAAAAAGCGCACAUAGGUGCACAGCUCCACCGAACUUUGCAAACAGAGGACACUCAGCAUCUGCAUCGAAGGGAGGAUCUUAGCAGCCCUCCCCCACUUUUGCACCCCUCUUUGCCCCCGUCUCUACACUACCACCCACCUCCUCCUGCCAAGGAGGGGUGACCACUCCCCUGACCUCUAACAGUAAAGGUUGUUUUGAAUGUCCUC